GCUGCAAGAAAAAAGUUUUUUGGGCAGAGACGAGAUUCGGUGUGAUCGGCUUAUCUAAAGCUUCAUAUUUCACGACUUCGACCGAGAUUCAACAGACCAUACAUACUCGGCAGAUUGUGCUCAAUCAAGACAAAGCAAACAUGGCUCACAAUUUUGAACUGCUGUGCCGUCUUGCAAGAGAGUGAGAUUCAGCAACACAUAGAAAGACCACAGCAUGGAUUAAGAGACAGGAAGAAUCCAUUUGAAUACUACGAGGAUGAACCUCUCAGAGUGGGGUACCAACAGAGAGAACCACACAUUGCCUGUCAUGUUACAGGUUUUGACAGGACUUUGUUUUAUGUCAUUGGUACCUUUUAGAAGAUGCAAGCAGACGAAGCAACUAUAUCACAGUCAUCCGUGUGCAGAAUCAUCAAAGAUUUUUCUGAGGCAAUAGCAAGGAGUAACAGUCAAUGAAGUUUCCGAUGACGAGAAAUUCAAACCACCCAGCGACAAUUUGAUGAUUGCUACAGGUUUCCAAGAGUCAUAGGUGCUAUCGAUUGGGGCCAAUCCAGGCCAUGUCUGCAUCAGGAGUCCUGAUGGGGAACAAGCCCUGUACUUAGCAGGAAGAACAGGUCUUCUGUAAAUGUAUAGGUAUCCGUUGCUCCCCUCUUUGAUGAAUUCCUGCCUGCAUUCUGUUGUCAAUAGAAAAGGACGGUGUGCUACGGGUAUAAGCAUUCCAUUGCAUUAUCUGUGCAUGAAAGUGGACACUUGUGAUAAAAAAUGGUAGCUUGGUUGUAGUGGCGUACCUAGGAUUUUCCACAGGGAGGGCAAAACCGUUCGGCCGAAAAAUUUUACAAGUAAAAAAAAAAAAGGUCUUCAAUCACAAAUAAAGGAUUUCGUACCAGAAAAAAAAUUGACAAGC